rnacentral:rRNA from 1 species
GGGUUGUGAGGUUAAGCGACUAAGCGUACACGGUGGAUGCCCUGGCAGUCAGAGGCGAUGAAGGGCGUGCUAAUCUGCGAUAAGCGCCGGUAAGGUGAUAUGAACCGUUAUAACCGGCGAUACCCGAAUGGGGAAACCCAGUGUGACUCGUCACACUAUCAUUAACUGAAUCCAUAGGUUAAUGAGGCGAACCGGGGGAACUGAAACAUCUAAGUACCCCGAGGAAAAGAAAUCAACCGAGAUUCCCCCAGUAGCGGCGAGCGAACGGGGAGGAGCCCAGAGCCUGAAUCAGCAUGUGUGUUAGUGGAAGCGUCUGGAAAGGCGCGCGAUACAGGGUGACAGCCCCGUACACAAAAGCGCAUGUGCUGUGAGCUCGAUGAGUAGGGCGGGACACGUGGUAUCCUGUCUGAAUAUGGGGGGACCAUCCUCCAAGGCUAAAUACUCCUGACUGACCGAUAGUGAACCAGUACCGUGAGGGAAAGGCGAAAAGAACCCCGGCGAGGGGAGUGAAAAAGAACCUGAAACCGUGUACGUACAAGCAGUGGGAGCCCCACCACUAAGCCAGUGGUGAACUCCACAUACGCAUCCUUUGCUGAGGAUACGGUUAACGGAGCGAAAGCGACGUUCAACCUCAAAAGAAGCAGAGGGGGCUUAGUGGUGGGGUGACUGCGUACCUUUUGUAUAAUGGGUCAGCGACUUAUAUUCUGUAGCAAGGUUAACCGAAUAGGGGAGCCGCAGGGAAACCGAGUCUUAAUUGGGCGUUAAGUUGCAGGGUAUAGACCCGAAACCCGGUGAUCUAGCCAUGGGCAGGUUGAAGGUUGGGUAACACUAACUGGAGGACCGAACCGACUAAUGUUGAAAAAUUAGCGGAUGACCUGUGGCUGGGGGUGAAAGGCCAAUCAAACCGGGAGAUAGCUGGUUCUCCCCGAAAGCUAUUUAGGUAGCGCCUCGUGAAUUCAUCUCCGGGGGUAGAGCACUGUUUCGGCUAGGGGGCCAUCCCGGCUUACCAACCCGAUGCAAACUGCGAAUACCGGAGAAUGUUAUCACGGGAGACACACGGCGGGUGCUAACGUCCGUCGUGAAGAGGGAAACAACCCAGACCGCCAGCUAAGGUCCCAAAGUCAUGGUUAAGUGGGAAACGAUGUGGGAAGGCCCAGACAGCCAGGAUGUUGGCUUAGAAGCAGCCAUCAUUUAAAGAAAGCGUAAUAGCUCACUGGUCGAGUCGGCCUGCGCGGAAGAUGUAACGGGGCUAAACCAUGCACCGAAGCUGCGGCAGCGACACUGUGUGUUGUUGGGUAGGGGAGCGUUCUGUAAGCCUGCGAAGGUGGCCUGUGAGGGUUGCUGGAGGUAUCAGAAGUGCGAAUGCUGACAUAAGUAACGAUAAAGCGGGUGAAAAGCCCGCUCGCCGGAAGACCAAGGGUUCCUGUCCAACGUUAAUCGGGGCAGGGUGAGUCGACCCCUAAGGCGAGGCCGAAAGGCGUAGUCGAUGGGAAACGGGUUAAUAUUCCCGUACUUGGUGUUACUGCGAAGGGGGGACGGAGAAGGCUAUGUUGGCCGGGCGACGGUUGUCCCGGUUUAAGCGUGUAGGUGUGUGUUCCAGGUAAAUCCGGUUCACUUUAACACUGAGGCGUGAUGACGAGGCACUACGGUGCUGAAGCAACAAAUGCCCUGCUUCCAGGAAAAGCCUCUAAGCAUCAGGUAACAUCAAAUCGUACCCCAAACCGACACAGGUGGUCAGGUAGAGAAUACCAAGGCGCUUGAGAGAACUCGGGUGAAGGAACUAGGCAAAAUGGUGCCGUAACUUCGGGAGAAGGCACGCUGACACGUAGGUGAAGUGAUUUACUCAUGGAGCUGAAGUCAGUCGAAGAUACCAGCUGGCUGCAACUGUUUAUUAAAAACACAGCACUGUGCAAACACGAAAGUGGACGUAUACGGUGUGACGCCUGCCCGGUGCCGGAAGGUUAAUUGAUGGGGUCAGCGCAAGCGAAGCUCCUGAUCGAAGCCCCGGUAAACGGCGGCCGUAACUAUAACGGUCCUAAGGUAGCGAAAUUCCUUGUCGGGUAAGUUCCGACCUGCACGAAUGGCGUAAUGAUGGCCAGGCUGUCUCCACCCGAGACUCAGUGAAAUUGAACUCGCUGUGAAGAUGCAGUGUACCCGCGGCAAGACGGAAAGACCCCGUGAACCUUUACUAUAGCUUGACACUGAACAUUGAGCCUUGAUGUGUAGGAUAGGUGGGAGGCUUUGAAGUGUGGACGCCAGUCUGCAUGGAGCCGACCUUGAAAUACCACCCUUUAAUGUUUGAUGUUCUAACGUGGACCCGUUACCCGGGUUGCGGACAGUGUCUGGUGGGUAGUUUGACUGGGGCGGUCUCCUCCUAAAGAGUAACGGAGGAGCACGAAGGUUGGCUAAUCCUGGUCGGACAUCAGGAGGUUAGUGCAAUGGCAUAAGCCAGCUUGACUGCGAGCGUGACGGCGCGAGCAGGUGCGAAAGCAGGUCAUAGUGAUCCGGUGGUUCUGAAUGGAAGGGCCAUCGCUCAACGGAUAAAAGGUACUCCGGGGAUAACAGGCUGAUACCGCCCAAGAGUUCAUAUCGACGGCGGUGUUUGGCACCUCGAUGUCGGCUCAUCACAUCCUGGGGCUGAAGUAGGUCCCAAGGGUAUGGCUGUUCGCCAUUUAAAGUGGUACGCGAGCUGGGUUUAGAACGUCGUGAGACAGUUCGGUCCCUAUCUGCCGUGGGCGCUGGAGAACUGAGGGGGGCUGCUCCUAGUACGAGAGGACCGGAGUGGACGCAUCACUGGUGUUCGGGUUGUCAUGCCAAUGGCACUGCCCGGUAGCUAAAUGCGGAAGAGAUAAGUGCUGAAAGCAUCUAAGCACGAAACUUGCCCCGAGAUGAGUUCUCCCUGAGACUACGAGUCUCCUGAAGGAACGUUGAAGACGACGACGUUGAUAGGCCGGGUGUGUAAGCGCAGCGAUGCGUUGAGCUAACCGGUACUAAUGAACCGUGAGGCUUAACCUUACAACGCCGAAG